rfam:Cladophialophora carrionii strain KSF Contig1501, whole genome shotgun sequence.
GCCCUGGUGGCACAAUUGGUCAGCGCGUGAGACUUUUACUUCUUCAGAAGCAGUCAAUCUCAAGGUUGAGAGUUCGAGCCUCUCCCAGGGCG